GAUGAACGCUGGCGGCGUGCCUAAUACAUGCAAGUCGAGCGAACGGACGAGAAGCUUGCUUCUCUGAUGUUAGCGGCGGACGGGUGAGUAACACGUGGAUAACCUACCUAUAAGACUGGGAUAACUUCGGGAAACCGGAGCUAAUACCGGAUGAUAUUUUGAACCGCAUGGUUCAAAAGUGAAAGACGGUCUUGCUGUCACUUAUAGAUGGAUCCGCGCUGCAUUAGCUAGUUGGUAAGGUAACGGCUUACCAAGGCAACGAUGCAUAGCCGACCUGAGAGGGUGAUCGGCCACACUGGAACUGAGACACGGUCCAGACUCCUACGGGAGGCAGCAGUAGGGAAUCUUCCGCAAUGGGCGAAAGCCUGACGGAGCAACGCCGCGUGAGUGAUGAAGGUCUUCGGAUCGUAAAACUCUGCUAUUAGGGAAGAACAUAUGUGUAAGUAACUGUGCACGUCUUGACGGUACCUAAUCAGAAAGCCACGGCUAACUACGUG
rnacentral:rRNA from 1 species